UCUCCCUUUUUACUUGCUCUAACAUUUUUGGCUUUUUGGUUGUUUGGUCUCAUCUUGGCCUACUUACUACUCAGUCUUUUAAGCUGUCUCUGUUUCAUCUGUGUUUCGUUGGCUCAUAUUCCCUGUUUAAGGCAAUAUUCAUAGCAUUACAGUUCUCAACCAAAGGAAACAAGACAAUCUAGAAAACGCCCACAAAUGAACUAGCUAAAAAAAACAGGAUAAGGAGCAUGGAUACAACCUCAAAC